AUUGAACGCUGGCGGCAUGCCUAAUACAUGCAAGUCGGGCGAGCGGCGGUCGGGUGCGUAAUGUAUGGGGACUGCCUGCUGGCGGGGGAUAACUACUGGAAACGGUAGCUAAUACCGCAUACUAUCAGAUCACCCUUAUGGGAUUAGCUAGUAGGUGGGGUAAAGGCUCACCUAGGCGACGAUCUCUAGCUGGUCGGAGAGGAUGAUCGGCCACACUGUGACUUAGACACGGCCCAGACUCCUACGGGGGCGGCAGUGGGGAAUAUUGGGCAAGGGGGGCAACCCGAACACAGCAAGGCCACGUGGAUGAAGAAGGCCUUCGGGUUGUAAAGUUCUUUCGGUAGCGAGGCGUUAACUACAGAAGAAGCACCGGCUAACUCCGUGCCAGCAGCCGCGGUAAUAC
rnacentral:rRNA from 1 species